ACUGCCCCUAUUCCCCUGGACUGCACGCCUUCCUCAUCUGUGAUUGUAUAGAGUCUGACUCAUCCUCCAACUUGAAAUGGGCAUCAUCAUCUCUUCCUCAAAUGAGCCACAUCUGACAGGUGGAAGAGAAAGCAUGUACAAGUCUUCAAUUUAUGUAUGCAACUGACAUGUGCAAAGGACAGUGAGACCAGCCAUGUGGACUGAUCCUGGGGCACAUAAACAAUGAGCAUCGUCCCUAGGUUCCUUCAGAUCCAAAGGGUCAGUUUGACUCGUGUUCCUCCAAGGAAAGAGAAUUAAAAGUGUUUUCAACGCCAGAAGCUUGGAAGCCAUUUGAGAACCAAGACCUGAAAGCCAGGCAAUAACCAGCCAUCAGCGACAGACCAUCCUGAAGGACCACAACACACUGAAAAGGAUGAGGAGGAUGAAAAGAAACACCGCAGCGCUGGACACGGACACAGGCGAUGAAGGAAAGGGACCGAAACUUUGCAAGGACCUCUGUGAGGAGGACUGGCCAGCUCUCCACCCAGUGGCAGAAUGGCCAGAGUAGAUAGACAGAUGCCACCCCAGGGAGACAGACAUCCUCAGUGUAGAUGACCUCAUGCUGAGGGUCCAUGUGCCUCAGGACUCCGUGAUUAAAUGUCUCUGGGACUCUGCCAAACUGAAGAACCAUGAUUUAAAGGGGAGGGAGUCGGAGGUGAUGUGGUAGAAGAGGAAGGGGUCUAUUUAC